CCGGAAGGCGUCAACUGAGAGGAGAAGCCACUCACGCUGCUCCAGCCGGCUGCCUCCCAGUCGGGCCUGCUCAGCCAGCGCUGACGAAGGCACUUGCGUGAAGUCUGCAGCAUCUCGAAUCCUGGCACGGUUGAGGAGCCCAUAGGCUUCGCCAUGUCAGAUAUGGAUUGCCCUUCCUGAGCCACCACCUGCCCUAGACAGCAGAUGCUAACCUAAGUGGCAGCUUCUGGGCAGCCUAAUUGGUUGCAAACCGAAUCAAAUUUCCCCAUAAGAUCAACAUUGAACCUAACCCUUGAAUUUGAUUCAGUUUCCAACCAAUUCAGUUUGUGGAAAGAAUCAAGUCUGUGAACUGAGGCACCACUGUGCUUUAGAUUUUUCAUUCUCAAC
rnacentral:lncRNA from 1 species